rnacentral:rRNA from 2 species
UUAGGUGGCCAUGGCGACGGGGCCCACCCCUUACCAUUCCGAACAGGGAAGUUAAGCCCGUCUGCGCCGAUGGUACUGCUACACUAAGUGGGAGAGUAGGCCGCCGCCUUUU